CAUAGCUUAUUGAUCAUUUUAAGUUCCUCCUGCCCGGUGUAAUUAACGGCCGCAGUACCUUGACUGUGCUAAGGUAGCAUAAUAAUUUGUCUCCUAAUUAGGGUCUAGAAUAAAAGGAAAAUAAGGAAAUUGUCUCUGACAGGUUCACUAAUUUUUUUAAAGGGUGAAAAUACCCUUUUAAAAUAUUAGACGAGAAGACCCUUAGAAUUUUUAUUAUUUUUGUUGGGGCGACAAGUUUACAUUUAACUAAACAUAAUAAAUUACAAGUCAGGAAAGAUUAAAUUACCUGAGGGAUAACAGCAUAAAUUAAGAUUAUGACCUCGAUGUUGGAUUAGGAAAUAAUAAUUAAAAAUUAUUAGGUUCUGUUCGAACCCUACGUGAUCU
rnacentral:rRNA from 1 species